UGACACAAACUUAAUACAUAUAACUAUCGUUUGGAUGAAAUUUUCCAAAUUGAUUUCAAUUGCUCAAUUCCAGUCAAUUAUCUUAUCUCCUCUUUAAACGGAUCCGAUCCACUAAAAUAAUUAAAUAUUCUAACUCAUACCAACUUAAACCUCUGAUAUGACCAAAAAGAGAGUUAAAAAUUUGACAUUCGUGAAUUGGAUUGAACUUUGAAGAAAGCUACAAUAGUUUCCAAUUAAUUUCAUGGGUAGCUAUUGAAUUGGAGUUGAAGUUUUUUUUCUUCUUCUUCAAUUAGAGAUGAAGUUUGAAGAACCAGUUGUUCAGCCAUUUCAAGAAAAGAAAAAAGAAGUUGGAGCUUGAUUUGAAAAUUUGAAAAUCAUUUAGAGAGGAUCAAUUUGAAGGAGAAGGCAGUUCACCAUUGAAGCUCGAUCGAAGGUCAAGCUUGAAAAAUCGAAUUGCUGCAAAUGAGCUCCGUUUGAGUGAAUAUUAUGGCAAAAGAUCGAAAACUUCAUGGAAAGUUUAUAUCUAAAAUUUAAAAUAAUUUGAUGAAUAA